rnacentral:rRNA from 1 species
GUGUCAGCAGCCGCGGUAAGACGAACCGUGCGAACGUUAUUCGGAAUCAUUGGGCUUAAAGGGCGCGUAGGCGGCGGCGUAAGUUGGAAGUGAAAUCCCAUCGGCUCAACCGUGGAAUAGCUUUCAGUACUGCGUCGCUCGAGUGAGAUAGGGGUCCGUGGAACUACCGGUGGAGCGGUGAAAUGUGUUGAUAUCGGUGGGAACGCCAGUGGCGAAAGCGACGGACUGGACCUUUACUGACGCUGAGGCGCGAAAGCUAGGGGAGCAAACGGGAUUAGAUACCCCUGUAGUCC